UACGGAGGAUGCAAGCGUUAUCCGGAAUGAUGGGGCGUAAAGCGUCCGCAGGUGGCUAUGUAAGUCUGCUGUUAAAGAGUGAGGCUCAACCUCAUAAGAGCAGUGGAAACUACAUGGCUAGAGUGCGUUCGGGGCAGAGGGAAUUCCUGGUGUAGCGGUGAAAUGCGUAGAUAUCAGGAAGAACACCGGUGGCGAAAGCGCUCUGCUAGGCCGCAACUGACACUGAGGGACGAAAGCUAGGGGAGCGAAUGGG
rnacentral:rRNA from 1 species